GAUGAACGCUGGCGGCGUGCUUAACACAUGCAAGUCGAACGAUGAAGCUGGAGCUUGCUCUGGUGGAUUAGUGGCGAACGGGUGAGUAACACGUGAGCAACCUGCCCCUGACUCUGGGAUAACAGCCGGAAACGGCUGCUAAUACCGGAUAUGCACCAUGAACGCAUGUUCUGUGGUGGGAAAGAUUUUUCGGUUGGGGAUGGGCUCGCGGCCUAUCAGCUUGUUGGUGAGGUAAUGGCUCACCAAGGCGUCGACGGGUAGCCGGCCUGAGAGGGUGACCGGCCACACUGGGACUGAGACACGGCCCAGACUCCUACGGGAGGCAGCAGUGGGGAAUAUUGCACAAUGGGCGAAAGCCUGAUGCAGCAACGCCGCGUGAGGGAUGACGGCCUUCGGGUUGUAGACCUCUUUUAGCAGGGAAGAAGCGAGAGUGACGGUACCUGCAGAAAAAGCGCCGGCUAACUACGUG
rnacentral:rRNA from 1 species